GCGUAGCUCAGUAGGAUUAGAGCACUGGCUUCCGAAGCCAGCGGUCGCAGGUUCAAAUCCUGCCGCGC
rnacentral:tRNA from 1 species